GAUUUGGGGGCCAGAGCCCCGAGGGGCGGCCAGGCGCGGGUAGCCCGGGAAGGGUCGUGGAAACGCCCGAGAGAGUUGAGGGAAGGGGCCUCUGAGGGGUCGGGUCCAGGUUUCGCCCCGGGGGAAACGCCUUAUAGACGCGGACCGCAGAGCUUGUGACUGCAUCCUGGCGAGCCGCGGGGCAACGCGGGUCGAAGGGAGAGGGGUGGGGCAAAGCCGAGAGUCGAGAGUCGGGUUGAGAGGCCCAGAAACGGGAGGAAGGAGUGCAGGGCAACGGAGCGAGAGCGCGGUUGGCUGGAGUGCCGGCCCGUGGCCCUGCGCCAGGGUAGGCCUGGGCGAGCCAGAGCCUUAGGUGGAAGGAGACUCACACCGAGGUAGGAAGGGGAAAAUGGCCAGUCCCCAGAGAUAAGGUCUGUCCAGAGGCCAGUGCGCUGGCAGAGUGAGGGGUAGGUUAGGAAGCAGCGGGGCCUUAGGGCUCCUUGGGUACAGUUGUGGCUAGGUCACUAAAGGCUUUGAAUGCCGAGCGAUAAAUUCGGAUUUGGCCUCGCAGGUGUGGUUUCUAAGCGGGAAGAGUAGUGAGGAGCUUAAAGGCAAGGAUACCUGGGUCUCGCAAUGCUGCCUGCCAUUCGGUCUUUGCCAAAGGAUUAGGCUUUGAUCUGGUUUUUAGUCACUUAAAAUUGUAUGACUACAUUUAUCAAACAACUUCAGUAAUUUUGUUGAAUUUUAAAAAAUAGAAAAGUUGAAAAAUCUGAUUCAAUAUUUGAUUUAAAACCCCAAGUGAGGCUAUCAAGACCCGUUACAUAUGAAUUGAGUGUUUUCCUUUGUCUUGCUUUUGCGCUGUUUUCCCCUCGCUGAUAUAGGGGAAUUCUGUGUUGUUAAUGCCUUGGUUCUACAGUUCUACUUUUCCUCAUCAUCACCUUGUGGUCUUUUUUUUUUUUUUUUUAAUUAUCUUCUUUUCUUUGCUGCCCUUUAACUUGCACUGUGUAUCCUAAAUCAAGUAAAACAUUUUUGGGGAUGGGGGUAUUGGGCUAUAAUAUACAAAGACAAGUGAGUAACUUAAGCUUUACCACUAUGUUAGUGGUACUUAUUUUUUAGUUUAGGUACUUAUUAUCUUCUGUGGACAUGUAUGUAACUAUAAAGUUUCUAUAUUUACUCUGUGGCUGAUAGAAAGAGACAGCUAAAGCUGUUUUUCACGACAGUAUUUCUAUAAACAUAGCAAUUUGUUAGUCUGAUUUCUCUUCUAAAAUUAAUUCUACAGUGGUAUUUGGUACUUGUCUCAGAAACUGACACUGAUUCUGUCAGCUUUUAAAUUCAUUAUUUUGGGCCAAAGGCAAUUGCAAGAAUGAGGAUUGUUACAAUUCACUUUAAAGAUCCUUAAACUUUGCAUUUGCCUUUGCCCCAAACAAGAAAAUCUGGGUCAGUUAAUUUUUUAAAGAGAAAAUAAUUUCCUACUUUGGGCCCUUGUGCUUUCUCAUAUGCUGUUUCAGCCCCAGCCCUAUCUUAUUCCCAGUGGCCUUUGCAUUCAUUCCUUCUUUGCUCAGCUGGGCAUCUUUAGAGGAAAACUUCACACCAACUUCCUAUACUAUAAAUUCUCUCCCUCCCCUCAACUCUACACUUCACUUUGCCAACAUAUACCACUACUUCUUCACUGAUUUAAAAAAAAAAAACCCUUCAGCCCUUUCUGGCUCUUUUCCUUCUUUAACACUCUCUUGUUUAAAUCUUCUCUUUUUCUUCCUUUCUGUUUGGUAAGACCUCAUAUUUUUUAAAGGUUAGGCUUUAUUUAUUCUGCACAAUCCACUUCUAUCUUCCUCAUUCUUCUAUUACCUUUUUCUUAUUCUGGACUGUUUGUAAACUCUAUUAUGCUUGCUCUCACCAAGCUUCAGCUUUCACCUUGUGAUUAAACAUUUUUCCUCUAGAUGGAGCAAAACAUGCUUAUGUUUCCAUUAUUUUUCCCGCAAUAAAAAAAGUUUUCAAAGUUUUCACAUCUACUUCAGUCUCUUCUUCCAACAUUUUGCAUCCAGAAGCGUGAUAUAGCCAUUAUUGUCAAGUCCAUUGAGUGACCACUUAAGCUUGGUGUUGUGCUAGGCAUUCUGUAGUGCAUUUCAUAAUCCUGGUGCCAGAUUCCUAAAUGCUUACCAACAAUAGAUGUCAUCACGUGUGUAUGUAUGAAUGUUCUCAUGUACACCUACACACGAAAGUGCACAGAUAAUCGAACCAUAAGUCAAUAUAUGAAUAUAUAUUCAAUAUAUUAUAAUCAAGCCAGGUACAUUUUGAGGUGGAAGGUGAAGAUGGUUAAAUUCAUAGCUAGGAUGGAAGGUUAAGAGACAAUAUCCUCUGGCUUUCUGUAUCCAGACGAGAAGGAUGAGAGGACAGAGUUAUUCCUGCCGAGUUAAGGAAACCUCAUGAAGAAGGCUGAGUUUCAGGAGUUGAGAGAGAUGACUUGUAGCACUGUGGUGAAUGGCAGGAGGAUGGGUUGGAGGGGCCAGAGUCCCAAGAACAUACAGUUACUAUACCCAGACAGUAUUUUCUCUGGCAAAGAAUAUAAAAGAUUUUAUGGUUAUAGUGCUGAUUUCAACUAUAGUGAAGUUUUCAUUGAUAGCCCAUAUUGAAGUUUUCCUACCUUGUCUCUGCACCAUUGGAAUCAUUCUUACCCAAUUUUUCUUAAAAAAAUUUUUUUUCUGCUUACAAAUUGCUGCACUCACAGUUGCCCCCACCACUAAUAAUUAACCCUCAACUAACCACCAUUAAUUUUUACUGAAUUCCGUAUAUACUCACACACUUUAAUUUUUCCUGCCUGCUCUACAGUCUCUUUGUGGUGAUAGACUUAAAAUUCUAUUUAUGAUUCACUUUUAGCUCAUUUGUAAAUUGCUCUUUUUUUUUUAAUUGUAGACUCAGAACUAGAUACUGAAAAGACAUCUAGUUCUUCAUGAUCUCUGAAAGAUGGUCAAGUGGGUCUUUGCUUGACUGUCUCUCCUGGAUGGAAGGGAUUUCUGCCACAUGCAGUGGAGGCUGCCCCUUCUACUGUUAUCUGACUUUAGGUACUAGAGGGUUGUUCAGCUGAAAUCUGCCUAGCUAUAGCAUCUCAUUUUUCCCCUUAGUUCUGCUCUUUGAAACAAUAUGGGAGAAAUCUACUUGUUUUUCAAUGUGGCAGCUCUUUGAAGAUUUGAAAAAGCGUUUGUUUUUUGUUAGCUAUUUACCUAAGUUUUUUUUUUUUACUCCAGCACUGUCCAAAAGAAAUUGCUGUGAUGAUAGAAAUGCUCCCUGCCUGUCCCGUCUAAUCAGUAGCCACUAGACACAUGUGGCUAUUGAGCACUUGAAAUGUGGCUCGUGUGACUGAGGAGUGGAAUUUUAAAUUUUAGUUAACUUUAGCUAAUUUAAAUGUAAAUAACCAGAUGAGGUAAGUGGCUCUUGUGUUGGUGCAGCUCUAAACUCUGGGAGUCAGUACAUUGUCCCCUGGCUGUCUUUUGGCUGCUCCAGCAAUCUUAUGGUCACUUUAAACAUGGUAAAAGCAUGUGUAACUGGGCUCUUGAUCUGUCUGGAGGCCAGUCUUACAUGUUGUCACAAUUAGGGAAAAAAAAAUCCCACAAACCCAGCCUCCAAAGCCCAUAUGAGUAAUGUCAGUCUUUGUUGGAAGUUUCUUAGAAGGGGUAGAAGAUGAAGGUUAUAUCUCAUCUCCAUAUCUAAGCAAAACUUUAAAAAAAAUCCCUCAUUUAAUCUCUUUCCCUAAGAGUCUCUAACGUUCCCCCUCCCUUCUCUUUUCCCUUCCUCCUCAGAAGCAUCUUUCCCCCUCCUCUCUGAGCCUUACUCCUCCAUGCUCUUUGACCACCGCCUCUGAGCAUCCUCCUUGGAGGAUUCUUGGGUGGCUCCUCUUCCCCCAAUUCCCCUACCCUUUCGUUAUCUCUGCUCAGUAAAACCAAGGAACUUUUUCUGGACCCAUCUUUCUUAGGGGGUGAUUAGGGCUAGAAUUUCAUGAAUAAUUAUUUUUUUCCUUUCUCACGUAAUUCCUGACCUCCUCUGAGUCCUCUCAAUUUCUUAUCAUUGCCAGAGUCUCUGUUUAGCACUCUUACAGAAGCAGCUCUAAUGUAUUCUUUUCAUUCCAGAUCUGUUCUUGGCAAAUCCUAAAGAUACUUCUUCACAUUUCCCUUAUCCAUUUUCUUUCAUUAUUGUUUUUCUUAUUUUGGCGUAUAUGUUAUUUUAAUAGGUUUAUCUUCUCUUCACCAGUCCUCUGCAUGUGGGUGGGCUGCAUCCACCAAGGAAGCAGCAUUCAUUUCCCACGAUUUUACCCAGUGCUUCAUCCUUCUUUGAGUCCCCUCUUGGCUCACCAUUGUUGUCCAUACCUACCUCCCUUUGUUGAUUGUUGUUCUCAUCUCCUUUUAUUCAUAUAUUUAAUAACAUUCACUAUUAAAAAUCAUUUUGAGGGUCUCAAAUUAUUUCCAGGGGACCUCAUCUAAGACUCUGUACUGUGACCCAAGAGUGUGUGGAUUUCUGUGGAUUGAGGGUAAUGGGGUUGAGGGGCAGAAUAUCCUCUCAACCAUGACACCAACGUUCUGGUCUGGAUAAUACUUUGUUGCAGGGGGCAAUCCUUUGCAAUGUAGGAUGUUUAGCAGCAUCCCUGGCCUCUACCUACUAGAUGUCAGAGGUACCCUCUCAGUUGUGACAACCCAGAAUGUCUCUAGACAUUGCCACAUGUCCUCUGGAGGGGAAAUCUCACCCCAACCCCUGCAUUCAGAACUACUAUGCUAUAAUAUCAGCUUUCUGAAAUUGGCAGAUAGUUACACUUUUUCUCCCCAGCUACUGAUUUGUUUUCAAAAGUGUGAUCUUUGUCUUACUUCGUAGGAGGUGGCUUCUUAAAAUUGCAGGUUUCUGAGCCCAUCCUACACCUACUGAAUCAGAAAUGCUAGAAGCAGUAUCUGGAAACUGAUUUUUAUGAGAUAGCAGCCCCCCUCCCCAACCUGGUAAUUCUUAUGCCCUAGGGUUGACCCUCCUGUGGCAUAACUGCUGCAUUACCCACAUUUUUUUCCUGCGAGUCUUCCUGGUGCUCCAGCUUUGCUUCCGCUCUUGGCCCCAUGAUGCCAACACAAAUAGGGAGGCCUCAGGUUACUAGGACAACCGGGGCACAGGAAACCAUAAAGGCUCAGCACUCCCACAGGCAUCACAGAUGGGUUGUGCCAGCUCGCUUUCUCCUUUGGGACUCAGUCAUACUUCCUAUUCCCCAUCCCCAAAUUAUCCAGACUGGAAGAUACCCAGGCCCAAGCCAUAGACCCUGAUUUUGCAGCUCUGGUGAUGGAAUAUGGAAUGGUGAGAUGAGGAAUGGCAAACGAAGCCCCCUGAGAGCUGAUGAGAUUACAAGCCUGGAGUCAGGGUGCUUCCAUUAAUUUAUACUACUUAUACUUGCUUCAUUGGACCUUGAAUCUUGGAUCUUUUUGGAUCCCUGGCUAGAUGUUUUUACAAUUUGUUAUCCGUUAAAAGAUUUAGCAAUCUACUUCUGACUGGGAGCAGCUAAUUUUCACCAGGAAAAUACUAGUUACCAGAUAAUGAAUUUGGGUUCUGUUUACAUUUUGUUAUAAAGCUAGUCAUUUUUCUUAAGGAAGAUCUUCUGAUUUGGUUAAGUCUUUAAAGCCAUGAAUAAGUGCAGAUCUGCUUGUACUCAGAUGCAUGAAAAAUGUUGAAUUGAUCCAAAACUGGAGCAGGCCACCUCCAUGGAACGUUCCUGGUAGGUCAGAGCAAGAGAGAAUAAGGGGUAGGGUGGGGAGUAAAGUAGACUUGAUAGCUCUUUUCAAACAGUUGAAGGACUGUCCUGUAGAAGAGGGGUUAGAUUUACUUGAUUUAGCUCCAGAAGGUGGAAUAGGGACCUUUAUUCCAGAUGACAGUGGUGGAGGACAGAUUUUGACUUAUUAAGGAAAGAAUAUUUGAAUAGUUAGAGGACCUCAAGUUGGAAUGAGCUGAACUGUUAGACAGUGAAUUAUUUGUGACUGUGUUGUUUAUAUAGAGGUUAGAUUAUCAUUUGCACGAGGUUUGGAUGAGAUUUUUGGACAUUAAAUUGGGUUUGACCUAUAAGGAGAAACAGGCAAAUUUAUUGGAAGUCAAUUCACCCUUUCUGUUACAUGAUUCUGUGGUAGCUUUUAUAGUCGUUACUAUUUUCCUAGGCACCUCUACCAAGUUUACCCCCUUAAGUCAUUGAUAUUAAGAGUUGGUAGUAGAGUCUUUAGAGAGUUCUCAAAUGUUGUACCCUAGUCCUCUGUUGAUUCCUCAAGAAUGAUGCAGAGGUAGUUGAGAAAUAUAAUGAAGCAUAUCUGGGGCCCUGAGCAAUCUUGCUUUUUUUUUUCUCCUGGGGGUGGGUGUUCUGCUGAAACCCAAACCAAACCAAAAAACCCUUCAGGACCCUGAUAUUUCAGAUUCUUCAUUUAUUGACAGGGAAACUGAUAUAUGGAGCAGGGAAGUGUCUUGCCAAAGAUCGUACAGCUAAUAAGUUUCAGAGUUGGAAUUCAGAUCUAGCUCCUCUAAUUCCAAUCAUUUGUUUCUUCCACUCUACUAGUUUACCUUCUUAAAAUUUGGUAAAAGUUUCUUUCCAUUUUUCUGGCCACCACUAUAAUCCAGAAUUUUAUUUCUUUGGAUCCACUAUUCUCUAUUAGCCACUGAACUCUCCCUGCUGUCCAAUCUCUGUUUCUUCUGGUUUAUGUUAUAUACACUGUUACCACGUUAUUCCUCAUCAAACAUUGUCUUCAGCAUGAGAUUUCCCUGCUGAAGAACCUUCUUCCUAUUGCCUGUAAGAACUUUACAGCUUGACGCAUAGUUAGCAUUUUUGGAUCCUUAUUCUGCUAACUGAAUUUGAGCCCAUUCUGUUAUGGGUAAUAAAUGGGCUACUGAAUGGUGAGAUUGACUGAGUCCUCCCUACCCCUGGACUCCAACUUUGACAGGAUUUUUGUGUAUCCAGUUUUAAUCAGGGAUGAUAAGAUACAAAAGAAAUAGAAGAUCGCAGCUCAUAAAAAGCAAGUUGUAUUACAGUAAGUAUAAUAUAAUCCAAUUUAUAUGACACAUACUUGUAUUUUUUAAAAACUAGAAUGAGAUGUGUAGAAACUGGGGGAAAAAAACCCACACCAAACUGAUAAUAGACAUUAAGUUUGAUGAGAGGGAUUUAGAAAGGGUGGGGGACUGGGGAGGAAGGAGGGAACUUAAAAUACUUAAUUCUCCACUGAGGAGAGCCUCCCAGGAUAGAAGGGAAGCCUAAAGAACCAGGCUUGGAACUCAUAAGAGAAAGAACUGCUUAACUGUCUUGCCUGCACCACUGCAAGCCGUUUCUUUGCCUCUUGGAUCACUCUUUGAAAGAACUGAAGUCCCACGAGAUUAUUUGACUGGUCAAGCUUAAAUUAAGGGCCAUCUAUGGCUCUAUCAGGAAAGGAUCUAGAGGAAGGAACCCCUAGGAAAACUCCUUGGUUUCUGUUGAGUGAGAGCAAACAUUUGAUUUUACUCUCCCAACAAAGCUGUGCACAGAGUGAGAGAGUUAAAUGCCUGAAAGGACAUCAGAGUACUCUUAGGAUCCUGGGAACUAGAAAUGACAAAUUGGCUUCAUCACCCUUCCCUUCUACACUUGGAUCCUGGGCUUUUCUUUUCUUUUGGUCCAACCAAGCCCUCGGUGUGGUUUUAACAUUUACUAGGGGUUGAGGAGCAACAAAUUAAGGGGAUUGGGGAGGGGAGAAGUGUAAGGCAGGGCAGGGAGGGAGGGCGGUUAGUAGGUUUUACUUUGCUUUCUCCCUUUCCUGUGCUUGUACAGAAAGCCUUUUCAGUGCCUGACAGUUAAAAAAAUGAUCAUAAUAAAUAUUUGUGAAUUGGGUUGCAAGUAGAAACCAUAUCCAUCUGGCUUUUCUUACAACCUGUUCCUCUGAUGGUGGAGCCAUUCUUCCCCUGUGCCAUAAAGACUGUGGCCAGGGAGACAUUUCUGCCCAUCUCCCUUUGUGUGUGUGUGUGUGUGUGUGUGCCUGCCAGCAUACAUGCCAGAUUAUCUUCUGCCCUUUUGGAAGGUCCAGACCCCAGUCAGAGUAUGUACCAGAAGUGCUUUGUUUUCCAACAGUGGGGAUUCUUCACUUUUGAAGCAUUAACCUUCUGAUAAAAAAUACCUUUCUCCAAUUCUCAUCAUAGCUUAGGCAUGCUUUUUAAAAAGUUAACUUGGGUUAAUCACCAGAGGAUGUGCAAAUUCACACUCUUAACUUCUGUGACUUGGAAAAGAAUUUCCCUCACCUACUCUGUUUCCACUGGGCAGAGAAUCCAUUUCUUUGAUAUGUUUCAGAAGGCUGAUGGAUCAGGAAUGAUCCUGUACUACCAAUGAACCAAUCAACUUCUGUAAGGAUUUGUCGGCUAGCCACUACUGGUAACAAAAAAGACUUUUAAAUAACCCUUUAACUGUUGCAAAAUGAUUUAUUUUUUCAACUGUAUUGAAAUAGAAUUUACAUAAAAGACAAUGCACACACUUUAAGGGUAUAAUUCAGUGAGUUUGACGGAUGUUUACACCAGAGUAAUCUCCGCAGUCAACAUAUAGAACAGUUCUGUCACCCUCCCCAAAUCCCCCUUUUACCCUUUGCAAUCAGUCUCUGCCCAUCCCACCCCAGACAUUCAAUGAUCAGAUUUCUAUCACUGUAAAUUAAUUUUGCCUCCUGUAGAGCUUCAUAUAAAUGGACUCAUACAGUAUUACCCUGUGUAUGGCGUCUUUCAUUCAGUAUUGUUUUUGAUAUCCAUUUAUGUUUUUGUGUAUAUUAAUAGUUCACCUUUUUAUUAUUGAGUAGUAUUUCAUAGUUGGAUAUACCACAAUUAGUUUAUCCAUUCAUCUGUUGAUGGAAAUUUAGGUUGUUUUCCACUUUUUGGAAGCUCCUGUGAACACUUACAUAUAAGUCUUUGUGGACAUGUGUUUGAAUUUUUCUUGGAUAAAUACCUAGGAGUGAAAUCUUAGGUCCUGUGAUAUGGGAAUGUUUAAUUGCCAAACUUUUCCAAAGUGGCUGUACAAUUUUACAUUUACCGGCAUUGUGUGAGACUUCCAGAGUCCAGCAUCCCCAUCAGUACUUGGUAUUGUCAGUUUUUAAAAAUCAUUCUAGUAGGUGUGUCGUGGUAUCUCACUAUGGUUUUAAUUUGCAUUUCCCCACAAUUAAUGAUACUGAACACUUUUUCAUGUGCCUAUUUUUCCAUCAAUAUCUCUUGGUGAAGUCUUUUUAAAUUUUUGCCCAUUUGAAAAAUUGGAGUGUUUGAUUUCUUCUUAUUGCAUUGUAAGAGUUCUUUAUAUGGUCUUGUUAUUGUGUUAUGAGAGUUCUUUAUAUAUUCUGGAUACAAGUCCUUUGUGAGUUUAUGAAUUGAAAAUAUUUCCCCCCUAAUCAGUGGCUUGCCUUUUUAUUUUCUUUAUGGUGUCUUUUGAAGAACAGAAGUUUUAAAUUUUGAUGAAGUCUAAUUUCUUACUUUUUUUUCUUGUAUAGUUAGCGUUUUUUUGUGCCCUGCAUAAGGAAUCUUUGCUUACACCAAAGUCACAAAGAUUUUUCUCUAUCUGAAAGUUUUAUAGUUUUAACAUUUACAUUUAGAUCUUUUUAUGUUUAUGACCCAUUUUGAUCACUUCUUUAACUUUGUCCUCACUGCACAACAGAUGCAGUAGGAAAGCAAGAAUCUGAAAUAAAGAUGAUACCUCUCUUAAAAACAGAUAUAUUGUAGGACAAAAAUAUUAACCUUUUUUUCUGUGUAUUAUUGUCCUCAUCUAACAUUAAGUGUUAACUAUUCAUUAGUGAAAUACAUAUCAUCACCUGCUGUGAACCAGGCACUGGAGAUUCAGUAAUGAACAUAUUAGACAAUGUCCUUGCUUCAUGCAGCCUACAUUUUAGUGGGAGAGGUUGUGUUUUAGUGAGCAUCCAUUGUAUGCAUGGCAAAAAUCAAGAAAAUAUUAUUGCCUCUACCUGUGAUUCCUCAAUUGAAGGAAGUAUUUCAAAUCCUUGGAGUACUUAAUCUUAUUGUACAAUAGAGCAGGAACGUCCUUCUACAAAGGGGCACUGAUCUGUAGAACGAAGGGACUCUUGGGCUGCAUACAGGCAGCUAUAAUGCAAUAUGGGAAAUGGUAUAGCGGCACAGGAUGGAAAAUCAGAGUAAGUGGUCUCAUGCUCCCGUUACUGCUGAGAUAUAGUGACCAGACUUAAUACUUUUGUCCUUGAUUUAAGCAAAACAGUUUGUUUUGUCUCCAGUCCUAUUUUUGGUAUCUUUUUCCCAAAAGAGUUUACUGAUGGUAUCUUCAGAGAACCCUUAGAUCUCUUUCAUGAUAGUCAGAGAAUGAGAUAUCUUAUCUUUCCUCAAAACCAGUCAUGGUUUGUGCCAAUGAUACACCAUUCUUCAAAUCACUUCUUGUAUCAGUAAUAAGUGCUAUUUACUAUUAACAUUUAUAACCUAGUACUAAUAUCGAAAAACCAGAUAAUGAGUGGUGUUAAUUCAGAGCAGGAUGAGACCACUAUGGCUUAGAUUGACCUUCAUGGAAGAAAUAAAGCUUUAACUAGUUCUGAAAGAUAAGUAGGGUUUUGGUGGAUAACAAAUAAAGAGAGCAGAUUAAUUUGGAUUAGUGGGUUUGAGAAAGAAGAGAUUAAGGACCAGCACAUACCCCAUUCAUGGUGUAACUCCCCUCUCAUCUGUUCAUAGCAGAUGUCAUUAGUCCAUCAUGGCACUCAUUCUUGCUGAGCCUGGCAAGACUGGAACUAGAUAAGAGGAAAAUAAAUGUAGGCAUUAAAUGGAGAGAUAAUUUCAAAGAGGCAUCAGUGAGACUUCAUGAAAAUGUCUGACCCUGGAGGUCAGGAUGUGGGGCCUUUCCCAUGUGCAACAGAGACUGUGAAGUGUUUCUGUUGCAUCUAUGCUGACAAUACACACAUCUGAGGGGUGUGAUAGUCACAACCAGACUCAGAAAGAUAGUGCUGGGGAAGGCAGUGCAAUUUUUUCUGCCAGAGGGCGCCACUCAGGCAGUUUUUAGGCUGGGAGAGAACCUUGGACCCUUGAGUUAACACAAGCUGUGAAGUUGGCCCUGUUGCCAGCAGAGUCAGCAGCAAACAGGGGCAAAGGAACUUUGCUCUGAAGAUAUAGGGAACCAGAGGACCACCUGCUCAAGGAGUUCAACUCUUACUUGCUGCUAAGAAAUCCCCUUCCCCUCGUCCAUCCAGCUCCGCCUCUAGGUAGGGAAGCAGGGGGAGAGGUAGCUAUCUGAGAGACCAAGCACUUUUUAUUCAAGAGAGUCUGAGCAGUACCUUAAAGACUGUUUAAAUGAUCAGAUUUGACUACAUUAAACUGGUUUGAGGACUUCUGACGGAUGGGGUUUCGGCAACUGUGAUGAUGUACAAGACCAUCAUGUGAGUAAAAGGUGCCAGUCGGCUCAUCCACCACCUUGGACGAGGUAAGGCAGGACUGGAUGUGGAAUGAUGCAGGCCUGUGUCCCUGUUUCCCAGAGGGCUGAUUGGGCCCAUCUGAGGUAGGUUAGGAUAGAUGCCAGGGGCAUGUCGCCCAGCUGAGCAGGUAGCUCAGUGCACUCAGCUGCAAGGGGACUGCUUACCCUUGCAUCACCAGUGUCCCAGCACUGGUUGCACCCAUCGGCAAGGGAGAACUAUCCUGGAACACAUCCACCUGGCCCUGUCAAACCUGUGGGGACAGAUUCUUGUGACCUGCUGUUUCCCUCGGCAUCCACCUUUCAGUUGUCCUCACCUUGAGGAACCCAUUUUUUGAGGAGCCAUCCAAAUGACUUGGAUUUUGUCAUUUAUUCAUUUUUCUUAUUUAUUCUCAUAUUAAUUGAGUCUGUUAUGCCUUAUACUGUCCUAGGCACUGAGAAUACAGCAUUUUGUUGGGAUGAGGGAAUAAACACAAAUAAAUAUAAUGAUGUUUGAGCAAUAUUAAAUUUGAAAAAUAGUACUGAGAAAAUAGAGUAUUAUUGGAAUACAAUGUGUGUAUUGGGGGGGACCUUGUCUAUAAAAGUAGUGAUGUUAACACUUACCUUAAGAAUGAUUUUGAGGUGAUCAGGUGAAAGAUGGGAAGAAUGCUUCAGACAGAGGGAACAGUAUAUGCAAGGGUGAUAGAUAUAAAAGGAAUGAAAUAAGUUCAGUGUAACUGGAGCCUAGAGAAGGAGUGGAGGGAUGUGAUGUGAGACAAGGCUGAAGAGGUAGGCAGGGGCCAGAUCAUGGAGCACUUUGAAAUCCAUGAUAAGGUGUUCAUAGUUCAUCCCUACCAAGGGAAGGCCAUUCAAGUGUUUUACUCAGAGGAAUGACUUUGCCAGCACUGCAUUUUGGCUGUUUAUUAUAGGCAGUAGAUGGGGAGGGUAAACACAUGAUGCUGGGAGACAAGUUAAGGGACUGUUUACAUUAGUCCAGGUGAAAGAUGAUGGUGGUUUGGACUACGUAGGGCAGAGGUAGUGGAGAAGUGCAUGGCAUAUUUUGGAAGAAUAUCCAGCAAGACAUGGAUGUGGAGAGUAAGGGAGAUGGAGAAUUCAAGGAUGACUCAGGUUUUUGGUUUGAACAUGUGGGUGGAUGGUGGUGUCAUUUACUGAGUAAGAGAACAUUAGGGUGGGAAGCUAUUUUCAGGGAAAAUCACAUGCCAGGUUUUGGACAUUGGAGUUUGAAGUGUUUACAAGUCUAUCAGGUGAAGACAUCCAGUAGGCAAUUGGAUAUAUUAAUUCAGAGCUGACAGAAAUGGACUGGUAAUUCAUUCUUGGCAUAUAGAAGCGGUUAUUGGAAUCAUGGUUAUAGAUAGAAUUGUAGACAGAGAGUUGAGCAGAGAUAAUCUGGAGUAGAGCCUCAAGAAGCACCAGUCACCCCAAUGGACAGGUAGAAAGGGAAGAGCUGAUAGAGAACUGCCAGGUGGUUGGAGGGAACACAGAAGGUGUAUCACUACAGUUUGCUGUGGAAAUGUACCAGAGCAUUUGGCUGGACUCCUGAUGGUGCUGAAGUUACCUAUAAUGUUUGAUGGGGUGGGUGGCCUUCAGAGGACCAGAGGAGCACACCUGGAACUCCCAGCCUGCCUUGAGUAUCUCUCUAGUAACACGGCAGCCUUCUGCCUUCAAAUCUGAAGAAACCUGGACUCCAGGAGGUAACAGGGGCUCAGAGGAAGGAAAUGGUUCCCCAUGGAUGUAUUAUGUUCAAGGCUCUGCCUUUAACCUAGCGAGGUUCAGUAGGAUCAGAGUGAAUUCCCAUCUAUGGACAUGAACCAUCCCACAGAUUUUGUUGUAUUCUUAUCACUCCCUAGAAGCAUAUCCUCAUCUCUUUUUUUCCCUGUCUUUGCCACUCUGAUUCAGAAGCCCAGUUGGUUCCCCUUGGUUCUUGACCUCUGAUUUAGCUUGGCUAGCUCCCCCUUUCUGAGGAGUGACUUCCACAUAUACAUACUUCUAAUAACCCUUCUGCUUGGCUGGCAAGCCCCAGAAGCUGCCUCCUUAUGCACCCCAAUAAGCAGUCACCACAGAGCACAGCCCAGUUUUAUAGGCCUAGAUAAGUAUAGAUGCUUCCUCUGCCCCCUCUAGAGGUGUUCAUGGCUCUUAGCCUUGGAAGUUCUGUUCUCUUCAAUCAUCUCCUUCUCUUCUGUUUUGCUUGUCAGAAGCAUAUUCAUUAGCUAGAUGUUAAGGCUGGUUCUACCUUUCAGGGACGCUUGGCUUUUAGAGCUAUUAUCCUAGUCUAGUAUCUGGGCCUAGUCUCACUCAUGGUCUUAGGGCUUUUGAUGACUUUUCCUACUGAGUAAUAUUCUGUGGAGGUUUCUACCACAUGCUUUCUUUCCUGCCAGGAUUAGUCAGAAAUUAGCCCCAAAUUGCCAUCUUCCUAUUCCAAAAGUCAACUCUAUGUUCCAUGUAUUGGGUCUGAGGGAGGCUUGUAGCCCUUAGCUUAUUUUGGGACCUAUGAUUAACAUACCCUGGGUCUAAAUAAUGAAGUUGCAAGUCCAGUGGUGGUUUGCAAUUUCUAUAUAGAAGCUUAAGGGCAGAAAUCUGAUUGGGAGGGGAGGGAGUCAGAAGAUUUGUCUUGAAGUUGAGUGUGAGUUAUGUGAUAGCUGACCAGGACUGACCACCAGAAAAAUAAACACAAAGAUAUGAUUAAUAAAAAUACAUACUUUGUUCAUAUAAGUCAGUUUAACAAAUGCAGAAUCUCUGGCCUUUAAAAAACCUUUUGUUGACUAGUUAUUUCAUUUACUUAGUUUCUUCCUUCCCCAAAGUAUGAUACCAUUAACCAGUGAAUUUUAAAUGCAUGCUUUGCUUUUUCUAUUUAUGUGUUUUUAUUUAGUUUACUUUAUGUGAAGGGGGAGGGAGUUCACUGCCAUUGAUGCCAACAACUCUUCCUCAUAUCCUCUACGCAGUCUUUUCCUUGGGAAACAAGGUGAUGUUCCACCUGAAAUUAUUUCCACUGAGGUGAUAGAUGAUGCCAUGAUUGUGGAUGAACUCAAUGAGGAAAUGAGUAUAGGAAGAAGGAUGCAGAAAGCUGAGGACCAGAGCGUGGGAGAGGGGAAGGCUACAUUUCAGAGGAGGAAGAGGAUCUGCACCACACUGAGCAAUGAGCAGACACUGAGAUGGAAGGAUGAUUAGGAGAAUGAGCUGUGGUUGAAGCCAUGGUAAGAAGAAGGUGAUGGCCAAUAGUGUGUUUGAAGUAUAAGGGAGGGACUUGCUGUCAUCUGUAAAGUAGGAACUUCCUCAUCUCCAUCAUUUAUAAAAAUUUUACACUAGAUUAUUCAAUUCUAUUCAACAAGUAUUUAUUGUGCUGAAUCCUAACUGUGGUGGAGUUGUAUAAAAGAGGUAUAAAUUGUUUUAAAGUAAUUUGUCUUUAUAAACGAAUAUACCAGUAAUUUAUACAUAAAAUCUCUAUCAGUUUUGACUGGUAUAUUUGUUAAAUGGAAACCACAGACCUAUUUCAGUGACAUUUAAAAAACAUCUUUUGGUAUCCUUUCAUUCCUGUGAUGCCUUUUUUUUAAAACCCUUAUGUAGUUUUUUUCUUACUAUAAAAUAGUACAUAAUCAUUAAAAAUACAUUUAUACAUAAAAUUAUAACUCAUCUUAGCCCCAAAAGAUAGCCAUCCUCAAUAUUUUGAUUUCUACCAUUCCAGAUUUCUACUAUGUGUGUGUGUGUGUGUGUAUGUGUGUUUAAUAAAACUGGACUUAUUCCAUACAUUUUUCAAUUUUGUUUUCAUUUAAUGAUGUAUGGUGAACAAUCUUUGAUACCGUACAUCUCUUGAAACAAUGUUUAGUGGGCUGCUUGGAUUUUAAUAUAUGAGUGUAACCUAAUUUAAUUAUACAAUGUCCUAUUACUAGAAACUUAGAUCUUUCCUAAUUUUUCAAUAUUAUAAACAGUGCUGUGUUAAGUAUCUCUGAAGCGAAAUCUAUGAUUGUUUUCUUUAUCUAAAUUCUUGAAGUGGAAUUGAUGGGUUAAUGGUAAAAACAUUUUAAAGGCUUUGGUGGAAAUUGCCAGGUUGCUCUCUAAAGCUGUAACAGAUUGUGCUUCUGCUAGCAGUACAUGUCCUUGCCCUUAUCAGCGGCUCUUCCCCAAGUUAUCCUGAGGAUGGGGAAGUAGGAAGUCCAUAAUGCUCCUUUCUCUCUCUUUCCCCCAAACUCUUUUUCUCUCCUCUCCUGUGUUCUUUUGGGGAAAGAGGAAAACCAAUCCUGUCUCUUCAUUCUUCCGUAUAACUCAGUCUGUAUUCACACCAAUAGCAGUGAACUCUGAAUUAGAAAUUUUGGAAUCAGGGUCUUCGUUCUCAGUAGCGGUCAAUUCCACCGGCCAGGAAAACAGAAAUCACUCUAAGUAUUUAAAUUAGAGGGAAUUUCAUCCAGAGAAUUAGGUAUAAAAGUGAAGGAAGAGCUGGGAAGCCACUCAAGGGAAGGCGAGGCAAUCCAGAGAUCAGCAACAGCUGAAGGAACAAAGGUAAGUUAGAAGCUGGAACUUUGGAGCGCCAGCCCGAGGGCAGCUGCAGUCACAGAGGACACGCGAUUUCUAUCGGAGAUGCUGGCCUAGGCGGAGGGACACAAGGAGGAAAUCCUCUGGCUCUGGCGUCCCUCUGACUUCCAUUCUUCGUCGAUGCCUCUCGUUGACUGAAUUCAGCAGGGACUCAGGGGGCCCAGGGCGCGGUCUGUGAGUGUCAGCCUCACUGGAGAGGAAGAGGAGCGGAUCUGAUAAGAACAAGGUCGCGGACUGACCGGUGGGUAGGGCCAGUGGGAGGGGAGGGAGCACGUGAUCGCUCUGCUGCGUAAGCUGGCUUUUGUCUCUUUAUAGUUAGUCUACUUCUUAAGGGUGGGUGAGGCAGGGAACUAUGUUCUGACUUUUAUUUUUGUGUCCUUUAAAAGCCUCUCAUAAAUAUUGUUUACAUUUAACCCAAUUUAACAGUUUCUCAGCUCUCUUUUGGUCAUGUAUCACUGACCGGCUCCCCUCGGAAUUUUUAGUGAGGAGAUGAAACAUUUGAAAACCUUUGCACAGAUGGUGGGCAACCUUCUCUGCUCUUUUUGUUAGACAGUUUAGUUAUUCUCAGUAGCUGAUGGGAGGUGUUCUCAGCUGCCAUUUGGUGGGAGAGGCUAGCGUCACAUUACUGCUCCAAUUUUCUCUCUCGGGGACCUAGCAGGUGUUUGAGGACAACGACUGUCUCAUCUACUCACAUGGAGUCUUUGUAGUCAUUUAUAGCACACCUGUUGUUUUUAGAGACUUAUUUUCAUCCAAAUAUGUGUGUAUGUACAGUCGACCCUUGAACAAUGUGGGGGUUAGGGGCGCCGAACCUCCAAACAGUUCAAAAUUUGUGUAUAACUUUACAAUUGACCCUCCAUAUGUGGUUCUCUUCUGGAGAUGCGACCAACUGUGUAGUACUAUUGUACCUAUUUAACUGAAAAAAAAAUCCACAUAAAAGUGGAUAUCAUGGCAAGACACUGAAAAAUAGGUUAAAUAGUGUUAAACAAUUAGAAUAGUUUGGAUUAAACAUUUCAUCUGGCAUGAAAUGUUUCUGGGUAUAUGCAUGUCUGAUCUUCUAGAAUUUGCUUCAUCUGCAUGAAUACUCCUCCUUCCUCCUACAUAUACAAUAAUGGACUCUUACCUUCCUGCUUGCUUUCUAUUAGCCUAUGACUUAUUGAUCUUGGGUCCUGCCCCCUUCGAGGGUCUCAGGAGAUCCUGGGUCCAUGUGUCUCUGAUUUAUAUGCAAAAUUUUGUAUGUAGUGUAUGUGUGUGUGCCUUUUGUGGGGGCAGGAGGUGGGGAGAGAAAGUGUUCAUCCUGUGUUCUAUCCCCAGUCUGUUUCUGUCUUCUUUCUUUAUUCUGCCUGAACCUUCAACCCCUGAUUCUUUCCCUCAUUCAGAAGAUGACUUAGCCUCUUCAUUUAGGAAUCAGUUGAGCCCCUUGUUUCAUACAACCUUUCCUUCACUUCAGCAUGUUGUAGAAGAUACAGAGUUGAAGUUUUCCUAUUGUCCUGGAUUUGGUGACUUGGAUCCAAAAAUGAGGACAGAGAAAGUAAGUACCACACAUUCUGGAGAGAGUUGCUAAUGGUUGGGGACAUUCACCCUUUCGAAGGCUUGCAAGGAAGUAGUAGAUGGCCCUGGUACCUCACACCACUAACCACCUGUCCCUCAUCACCCUACCUCAUUCUCAGUCAAUGUCAGGUAUAAAAUGACUCAAGGAGGGAGUCAUGAGCUUAGUAGGGAGUAUUUUUUCCCCUCCUUUUGUCUCCCAAACCAAGCAAGAAGAUAUCAAAGAGAGUCUACAUGAAAGAGAGACCACUUUCUCCUUCCCUACUUAGACUGUCUAUUUGGACAGUGGACUUGUUUAGCUCUGCAUUUAUCUGAGAAGAGGAAAGGCAAUUGGAAGUGGAAGGACAGAGAGUGGGUUAGUGGUGGAAUAGCCUGUAUUCUUUCUGUUUGGCUGAGUAAGGAUAUACGAGUUUCUUGUGGUCACAGGGACACUGAGGAAGACAGCUGAGCUUGAGCCAUCUUGCUGGUAGCCUAUGCCAGAGGCUGCCGGCUGGAGUUAGGAGGGUUAAAGGAAAUGACCUGGAGUAAGAUUGUCUACAUUAAGUCACAACUCAGCAGGGAGGACCCAUGAGACUUUCUACAGAACACGCACAAGUGCCCCAUAAGAGAUCCAGCAUUUUCACAUCUGCCAAACAUCCACAGCCAACAGUGGUUUGUGAUAACAACUACCUUGUUUUAAAGUAAGUAUUUACUUUUCUGUCUAUUCCACUAGGUCAUGUAUUUUAUGAAAGAAGGAAUGUUAUCUUGUUAAUCAAGGUACUUCAACACUGGCAGUACAUUUUAGAUGUCAAAUACCCUGAGUUCUGCAUGAUUUUCAAAUGUUCCACCAAACAUUAGUAUAGAGUGUCCAUACAUAAGGAAAUCUCAUCUGUUGUUACCUAUCCUAACACGGUAUUUAAUUUUGUAUUUUUUUAAUGGAAUGGCUUCUCUUAAAUCCUAAUUUACUCAUUCCUUAUAAUUUGGUGCAAACAUCUGAGCACUUCCAUAAGUCUUCUGUCAUAGUCUUGUACAAUCAUUUAUGUAUUGAAAUACCUAUUAUUUUAUUGUAAGUUAUUGUUCUUUAUUUCUCUUUUCUACUAGAGUUAGGACAUUUUAUUGAUGUUUUGAAAUUACAGGUAUAGAUAUCUUAUAUUAUCUAUGAGUUUCAUUUUAGGUUAGUAAAGGUGCUGUUACUUAAAAUAUUUAUUGGAAGAAAGGAGGCUUAGGUCUGAUAGCAUCGAAAGUCACUAUGUAGCCAUUGGUUUUCAAAGUGCUGUUUCGAGCCACAGAGCUCAAACAUUUUACUCAUGGGUGCCCUGAAAUAAUAAUACCUACCCCACCACAGUUUUACGUUGAAAUCUAACAUUUAUUAUCCACACUUAUAUUUAUAUAUUGUUAAUAAGAGAUAGAAAAUAUUAAUCAUUUUAUAAGUUGAAAUAAGCUAAGGAUUGACUGUAAUGUUAAAAAAAUUCAUGAUGACUUGAUAAAGUAGACUUUAAACUGUCUUAUUGAAUAAAAGCACACCAAAACCAAAAU